UUUGGAUACAUACUCACUUUCGACAAGAUCAACUGCUUCUUGCCUUUGUUUUAUUAAAUUUUCCCAUUGCUCGUCUGAAAAAUUUUAACGAAAGCUAUAGGUAUAACCAUAAUUCCAAAAAUUAUCAUUGUUUAUAGGUACUGAAUCGAUGUGAUGGAAAUUUUGUGUUCGUAUACAGAGUGUUUCACGAGUAAAUGGACAAAUGAAAACCGUGAAUAGAGGGCAUUGAGCUCAGUUCAAAAACAUCUCAUAUGUGUGUCUUAGGUUUUCUGUUGUCGAUAUACGCAGGGGGUUUUCUGAAAUUUCUCAAAUUUUCGUUAGCUAUAACUCUUGAAAUUCUCGAUCGAUUCGACCUAAAAUUUAUAUUUAGGUUGAAAAUGUUAGUUUCAAUGAAACAGAACAUUCGAAAUCGACAAAAAUCAGGACCGGACUCAGUGAGGAUUUAUUCAACUUCAAACUCAUG